CCAGCACUAUCUCACACAGGUAGCAUCUAGCUCCCAUCACUAACUCACACAGGUAGCAUCUAGCUCCCAGCACUCUCUCACACAGGUAGCAUCUAGCUCCCAUCGCUAACUCACACAGGUAGCAUCUAUCUCCCAGCGCUAACUCACACAGGUAGCAUCUAGCUCCCAGCGCUAACUCACACAGGAAGCAACAAGCUACCAAUCGUUAACUCACCAAGGUAGCAUCUAUCUCCCAGCGCUAACUCACCAAGGUAGCAUCUAUCUCCCAGCGCUAACUCACACAGGUAGCA